CCCUUUUCUCACUCUAUAAUUUCCCUCAAAUCCCCCGCCGAUUCUCUCUCACGCCAUUCUCAGUUUCGCCAACCGCAAAUCCUUACAGCUCCAUCCUCCGCCUCCAGAUUCGUCGAGAUGAGAGCCCCAACACCGUCGCCUGCACCACCGUCUCAGAAAAGUGAGCCAAAAUCUCGCGAGAAUCAGGCUGCACACGAGCGGAUCCAAAGGCCAAACCUCCGAUCUUGAAGUCGACACACCCAGAGGAUCAUAUCAUAUGGACGCCUGGCUUUUGGUUGAUUGCAGCAGUCUCCUAAUCUAUUGGCUUUCGGUUCGCUGGUAAUGUGAUGUUGUCUCUGUCUUGGCUUGAAGUAUCUCACUCAUAUGUAUUCAAUCUGAAAAGGGAGAGCUUGUGCGUGCUUUAGGAGGAGCUGUGGCAUCCACAUCUCUUCUUGGAGUUCCUCUUGGACAUAACUCCUCGUUU
rnacentral:sRNA from 1 species